rnacentral:tRNA from 1 species
GUCCCUGUAGCUCAGCUGGAUAGAGUGGCCCCCUCCUAAGGGGCAGGUCGCAGGUUCGAAUCCUGCCGGGGACGCCA